CAUUCAUCUCCCUCCCAACCGUGGGAGGGAACCAGAGGACACAGCAAGUCACGGGGAGAAGGCAAAAACUCCAUACAGGCAGCAGCAGCAGCAAUUAAACCUGGGCACUGUAACAGCAUUCGCUAAUCACUAUCAGUCCGUGUGUGGUGAACUACAUAUACCUGUCUGGACAUGCCCGUUUGCUGACCGCUCCUGUGGCUCCUCCCACAGACCCCUGUAUAAAGGCGAUUGGAGGCACUGCCCCUCCCUCAGUCUCCAGGAUGUUGUGUGGCGGUCUCUUGCUGCUAAUAAAAGCCUAUCGUUCGCCUCCCGUCUCCGAGAGUUAUUGAUGGUGCAUCAAUUUUAUUAGCAGCAAUUUUAAAACAUGGAGAGCAUUUUACGACCAGACAAAUUGGACAUUGAUCCUCAAUCUCCCGAAGCAGCCAUUACCUUUGAACUCUGGUUUGCAUGCUUCCAAUCGUACCUGGAAGAGAUUCCCGUGACUGAGCCUGCUACCAUGCACAGAGUUCUGCUCUCCAGAGUCAGUCCGCGGGUGUACUCCCUCAUCAGAGACUGGCCAACCUACCAAGGGGCACUGGACGCCCUCGAACGACAAUACCUGCGGCCCGUGAACACCGUCUACGCAUUACAUCGCUUAGUGACGCAGCAGCAGCGAGCCGGAGAGUCAAGUGCUGAGUUUGUCCGGGCCCUACAGACACUCGUGCGGGCCUGUAACUGCAGGGGACUGACGGCGGAACAGCAUGUGGAGCUCCUGUUACGAGACGCCUUCAUUACGAGGAUUAGGUCAGUGUACGUGCGACAGUGGCUGCUGGAGCACGUCGAUCUUACCUUACAGUCGGCAAUCGUGCUGGCCAACACACUGGAGGCUGCUCUGCACAAUGCUGACGCUGUCCAGCCGCGCGAUCUCCCGCCAAUCCCAUGGACGCUGCAGACCCCGCCACCUGCCGGCGAAUAGACCACAGGUGCUGCCACUCGCGAGUCCGUGAACUCCCCGCAACCCUCCAGCAAAUUGACUACGGCUCCUGCCAGUCGCAAGUCCGCGCAGUGUUACUUUUGCGGACUCGAAAAGCACCCCUGAAAGCGCUGCCCGGCCCAAGAAGCUACCUGCUCCAGCUGCAGAAAGAAGGGCCACUUCGCCAAGGCCUGAAGUCUGCCACUGGGACCACCCUACCGGCUUGGCUGACGUCCCCAGGGCCAGUGCUGUUCCGGAAACAUGCGAGGAGCAAUAAAUACUCCCGGAUGGUCGAGAGGGUUCACCUUCUACAUGCGAACCCCCAGUAUGCCUACAUGGUCUUACCUGAUGGGAGGGAGGACACGGUCUCCAUCUGUGACCUGGCGCCCGCAGGAGCACCAGACCCCUACCCCAAACACUCCAUGGUGACUCUGAAUCCCGUACCCACCGAUGUAUAUACCCACGAGAUACCGCACACACCAAGCCCUACACAGACUCCUCACGACACUCUCAUACCGGGCGCCUCACAAACGCAUGAGGGAUCACUGACGCCUAGUGGGCUGACACCUCCAGUUAGGCCGGAGCCAGCACAACCUCCGUCUCCGGUGUAAUCACCACCGGCACCUGUGCAAUCACAGCCGGUGCUACGUAGAUCGCAGCGACAGAUCGCAGGCACCUGAUAGACUUAACCUGUAAAUACACUUGCAAGAAACUUCGCCCCAUGGGGACUCUCUUUUAAAACAAAGGGGGGUGGUGAAUGUAGUUAACUACAUAUACCUGUCUGGACAAUCCCCUCUGCUGACUGCUCCUGUGGCUCCUCCCACAGACCCCGGUAUAAAGGUGAUUGGAGGCACUGCUCCUCCCUCAGUCUCCAGGAUGUUGUGUGGUGGUCUCUUGCAGCUAAUUAAAGCCUAUUGUUCGCCUCCCGUCUCCGAGAGUUAUUGAUGGUGCAUCACCGUGCCAUCCCUUUUACAAGAACGUACACAAUUAGAAGAAUGUCCUUUUUGGUGCAAGGUGAUCCAAGUGGUCAGUGUUGCUAUUUUGUACUGGGUUUUACUGGCAAGUUCAAAAACCCAAAUGGCUGCAGAGAAGUAGCUACUUAAUUAGCUAUUGAUUGAUUUAUUGACUCAAUUUAUUAACUGAGUUACUGUGCAAAACAGACCCUUCUGGUUAUUCAAGCUGUGCUGCCUAGCAACCCCCAAUUUAAUCCUAGCAUAAUCACAGGACAAUUUAUAGUGAUCAAUUAACCUACCAACUAGUAUGUCUUUGAACUGUGGGAGGAAACCGGAGCACCUGGAGGAAACCCACACGGUCACGGGGAGAACAUACAAACUCCUUACAGACGGCAGCAGGAAUUGAAUCCGGGAUGCAGUACUGUAAAGCGUUGUGCUAGCCACUACCCUACUGUGCCACCCUAAUAUAUUUAUAACUAUUAAUGUAUAAUUUAUAUUUAAUAAUACAAAUAUUGUACUUAGUUCCAAUUAUUAUUGUAAUAAUUAUAAUUCAUUUAUAAUCUAUAUGUUACCUGUGUGUUUUGAUGUUGCAAGAUUUCCAAGGUCCUUGCACCUCCUCGCACUGGUGCACGUGACAAUAAACCCAACUUGACUUGAGAACAGUACAGCACAGGAAAAGGCCCUUCUGCCCACUACAUCUGUGCUGAC